rnacentral:rRNA from 1 species
UACAGAGGGGGCAAGCGUUAUUCGGAAUUAUUGGGCGUAAAGGGCGCGUAGGCGGCCUUUCAAGUGACGGGUGAAAGCCCUCGGCUUAACCGAGGAACUGCCUGUCAGACUGGAAGGCUUGAGACCGGGAGAGGUGAGUGGAAUUCCCAGUGUAGCGGUGAAAUGCGUAGAUAUUCGCAAGAACACCAGUGGCGAAGGCGGCUCACUGGCCCGGUACUGACGCUGAGGUGCGAAAGCGUGGGGAGCAGACAGG